CUUGCCCGUCCAAUCAGAGGGAUUUCCUUCGUUUACGUUCACCAUCUAAAAAAGGUGCACAAGAGUCUCAGACUACGUUUACACGAAGCAGGGUAUUUUCCUAAACGAAUAUCUGGCCAUCUACGUUUGCAAAUAAAACUGCAUUUACACGAGACCGUUU